rnacentral:rRNA from 1 species
GACGAACGCUGGCGGCGUGCUUAACACAUGCAAGUCGAACGGAAAGGCCCUGCUUUUGUGGGGUGCUCGAGUGGCGAACGGGUGAGUAACACGUGAGUAACCUGCCCUUGACUUUGGGAUAACUUCAGGAAACUGGGGCUAAUACCGGAUAGUAGCUCCUGCUGCAUGGUGGGGGUUGGAAAGUUUCGGCGGUUGGGGAUGGACUCGCGGCUUAUCAGCUUGUUGGUGGGGUAGUGGCUUACCAAGGCUUUGGCGGGUAGCCGGCCUGAGAGGGUGACCGGCCACAUUGGGACUGAGAUACGGCCCAGACUCCUACGGGAGGCAGCAGUGGGGAAUAUUGCACAAUGGGCGGAAGCCUGAUGCAGCAACGCCGCGUGCGGGAUGACGGCCUUCGGGUUGUAAACCGCUUUCGCCUGUGACGAAGCGUGAGUGACGGUAAUGGGUAAAGAAGCACCGGCUAACUACGUG